rnacentral:lncRNA from 1 species
GCUAAUAUUUAUUGCUGAUCAAUUUCCUUCCAGUGCUAGUUUUUCCCCCCUGUGGCAACAGUUGCUCUGUUGAUCCGGUUUCCAGGUAACAAAGACCUUCUACAUGCUGAUUUGCUGAAAAAAUGAGUUUCCAACAAAGCUUUUGUAUAUAAGGAGGGGAAGAGGGAUUGAAGGGAGAAGAGAGGAACGGGGAAAAAUAAAGAAGAAUCAAGAUAUAUCAAGUACAGGUAUUUUGUCUCAGCCAUGAGAGAAAAGUAACUAACACAAGAACCACGCCUGCUCCCAACCCAGC